ensembl:lncRNA
CGGGCUCUAAUGUCCCAAGAUACUCCUGUCUCUGGGACUCCCCCAAAACCUAUCAGUUGUUGUCUGGGGCCUCCCGCUGGAGCAUCUGACUAUGAUCAACUGUGGCAUAAAUAAUAUCUGGGGACUGGUGAGCCCAGGAUGAAGCUGCAGAUGCUGGUAGACAGUCGAGCCGCUUGAGCCGCUGAACCGGGAGUCAGUUAUGGAGGCUGAGAAGUCCCACAGUCUACCAUAGAGAAACUGAAGACCUAGGAAAAUUGGUGGUGUAGUUCCAGUCUGAAUCUGAACACCUGAGAACCAGAGAACAAUAUAGUCCAUGGAAUUCUCCAGGACUUCCAUGGUAGUCCAGUGG